CAUCUCGGGUGACCACAACAGCCAACAAACCUAAAAGGCUGGACUCUUGAGCGCAAACUGGAUCAAAGCGGCAAAAUAUACAGCCAUAAAUUUACGGACGACGUCCUUUUCACGGGCAAGAUCCCAAUUAGGGUAUGGGGCUCGAAUUACGGCUCAAGUGCUUCCAAGAACGACAUUGUUAGCCACGUUAACGACUGGGGAAGUGCUACCGCUGUUUCCAAGACUGUUCUCAGAGACGAAAACAAUGUGG
rnacentral:lncRNA from 1 species